UACGAACCGUCCAAACGUUAUUCGGAAUCACUGGGCUUAAAGAGUCCGUAGGCGGCUGAGAAAGUAGGGUGUGAAAUCCCACGGCUUAACCGUGGAACUGCGCCCUAAACUACUCAGCUUGAGGGAGCUAGAGGUAAGCGGAACUGAUGGUGGAGCGGUGAAAUGCGUUGAUAUCAUCAGGAACACCGGAGGCGAAGGCGGCUUACUGGGGCUUUUCUGACGCUGAGGGACGAAAGCUAGGGUAGCGAACGGG
rnacentral:rRNA from 1 species